UACGUAGGUGGCAAGCGUUGUCCGGAUUUACUGGGCGUAAAGGGCGUGCAGGCGGUCUGUUAAGUGCAGGGUGAAAGCUCCCGGCUCAACUGGGAGAGGUCCUUGCAUACUGGCGGACUUGAGGGGGGUAGAGGAAAGUGGAAUUCCCGGUGUAGUGGUGAUAUGCGUAGAUAUCGGGAGGAACACCCGUGGCGAAGGCGGUUCUCUGGGACGGUACUGACGCUGAGACGCGAAAGCGUGGGGAGCGAACAGG
rnacentral:rRNA from 1 species